GACGAACGCUGGCGGCGUGCUUAACACAUGCAAGUCGAACGAGUGGCGAACGGGUGAGUAACACGUGGGUGACCUGCCCUGCACUUCGGGAUAAGCCUGGGAAAAUGGGUCUAAUAACGCAGAGUGUGGGAUGGGCUCGCGGCAUAUGAGCUUGUUGGUGGGGUAAUGGUGACCAAGGCGCGACGGGUAGCCGGCCUGGGAGGGUGGAAGGCCACAUUGGGACUGAGACACGGCCCAGACUCCUACGGGAGGCAGCAGUGGGGAAUAUUGCACAAUGGGCGGAAGCCUGAUGCAGCGACGCCGCGUGUAUGAAGAAGGCCUUAGGGUUGUAAAGUACUUUCAGCGGGGAGGCGUUACCCGCAGAAGAAGCACCGGCUAACUCCGUGCCAGCAGCCGCGGUAAUAC
rnacentral:rRNA from 1 species